rnacentral:rRNA from 1 species
AGGUAGCGAAAUUCCUUGUCGGGUAAGUUCCGACCCGCACGAAAGGCGUAACGAAUGGGGCACUGUCUCAACGGAGGACCCGGUGAAACUGAACUAGGAGUGAAGAUGCUCCUUUCCCGCAGCAGGACAAAAAGACCCCGUGGAGCUUUACUACAGCUUGACAUUGGGUUAGGGCUUAGUCUGUGUAGGAUAGGUGGGAGACUGUGAACCUGGUUCGUCAGGAUCGGGGGAGUCGCCGGUGAAAUACCACCCUGGCUAUGUCUUGGCUCUAACCUUGACCGUUAUCCGGUUAGGGAACAGUGUCUGGUGGGUAGUUUGACUGGGGCGGUCGCCUCCCAAAGAGUAACGGAGGCGCGCAAAGGUUCCCUCAGGCUGAAUGGAAACCAGUCGAAGAGUGCAAACGCAUAAGGGAGCUUGACUGUGAGACCUACAAGUCGAACAGAGACGAAAGUCGGCGUUAGUGAGCUUUCGGUUCCAAGUGGAAGGGCCGGAACUUAACGGAUAAAAGCUACCCCGGGGAUAACAGGCUAGUCUCCCCCAAUAGUUCACAUAGACGGGGAGGUUCGGCACCUCGAUGUCGGCUCGUCACAUCCUGGGGCAGGAGCAUGUCCCAAGGGUUGGGUCGUCCACCCAUUAAAGUGGCACGCGAGCUGGGUUCAGACCGUUGUGAAACAGGUCGGUCUCUAUCCGCUGUGGGCGUAAGGGAAUUGAGGAGAGCUGCCCCUAGUACGAGAGGACCGGGGUGGACGGACCAAUGGUGUUCCAGUUGUCGUGCCAACGGCAUAGCUGGGUAGCUACGUCCGGGAUGGAUAACCGCUGAAAGCAUCUAAGUGGGAAGCCAGCUCCAAGAUGAGUUCCCUCGCUAGGGUCAAACCUAGGUAAGUGCGCUGGAAGACGACCAGUUUGAUAGGCAGGGCGUGUAAGGGCAGAGAUGUCUUCAGCUAACCUGUACUAACGCACGAGGGCUUAAUCGU